rnacentral:tmRNA from 1 species
GGGGGCGACAGGCUUCGACAGGGGCUUGUAUGCAUCUUUGAAUGCACGUCGGGCUUGUAUGGUUGGCUCGUUAAAAACUUUAAAAACAAAUGCUACUCAAGAAUUAGCUCUUGCUGCUUAGUUAACUCUAAACCAGAAGUGUCUUACCGGAAGUCAGUCUGAUGCGACCGACUAAGGCAUAACUCAGUUCAGGCUCGCAUCGCGCCACCACCUGCGGCGCGACGUUAAAGUUAGUCAGGUUAGCCGCGGAUGAGGUCUUGUCAGUUCAUCUGCUUGCCCGCGGCGAAACUCAAGUGAAUUGACUAAACGUGUAGAUUUUACUGGUCGCAACCUUUGGAUGCGGGUUCGAUUCCCGCCGCCUCCACCA